rnacentral:rRNA from 1 species
AUUGAACGCUGGCGGCGUGCCUUACACAUGCAAGUCGAACGGUAACGGGCCUUCGGGUGCCGACGAGUGGCGAACGGGUGAGUAAUGCAUCGGAACGUACCUUUCAGUGGGGGAGAACGUAGCGAAAGUUACGCUAAUACCGCAUAUUCUGUGAGCAGGAAAGCAGGGGAUCUCGAGACCUUGCGCUUAUUGUGGGGCCGAUGUCAGAUUAGCUAGUUGGUGAGGUAAAGGCUCACCAAGGCGACGAUCUGUAGCGGGUCUGAGAGGAUGAUCCGCCACACUGGAACUGAGACACGGUCCAGACUCCUACGGGAGGCAGCAGUGGGGAAUUUUGGACAAUGGGGGCAACCCUGAUCCAGCCAUGCCGCGUGAGUGAAGAAGGCCUUCGGGUUGUAAAGCUCUUUCGGCCGGGAAGAAAUCGUAUGGGCUAAUACCCUGUGCGGAUGACGGUACCGGCAUAAGAAGCACCGGCUAACUACGUGCCAGCCGCCGCGGUAACAC